CCCCCCCCCCCCCCAGACCAUCUACUGGGAACCACAACCCUUUGCAAACAUUCCCUAACUCCUUCCCCUGAUUCUGCUCCAUGAUACUCACCACCAGCUGGCGCAUUUUAUUUGUCCAAUUUUUUCUCCUCACUCUGGAAUGUAAGAUCUUACAGUACGGAUUUGGUUUUAAGUCUGUUCACUGUCCUACCCCCAAUGUCUAGAGCUGCACGUGGAAUCUGAAGGCACGCUAAAUGUUCAGUGAAGACUGCUGAAUGAAUAAAUGUUUCCAUGUAAUGGUAAAGUUUGGUUGGGCUGGAGGAAAAGCAAAAGAAGAAAUAAAAACAACGCCACCGCUGAUUCUCCCAGGAUAUCAGUUCAAGCAGGCUCACCCCCGUGGCACUGGAAGACGUCCAAACCAUUGAGAGACCCUUCACUGGACUCACCAGAACAAUUACCUGAAGGAGAACAAAUGACGUCACGGUGUGCCCACGAGGCUUCUUGCACGAAAGAGAAAGCUAAGUUACAGCACGGCCAGAUGUGACUUCUGUAUCACCAGUUUAGGUCAUCAGUUAGGUGACCUAAGGGCCUGGUUUGGGUCACAAAACCCUUCAUCCACUAGGCUAGACAGGCUGUCCUCACUUCCAGAAACUGCCCCCUGGCUGGGAUUCAGCACUUCCAGAAACAGCCUCCCAUGCUGACCGAUGGAUAGAUUAGGAGGGGUGACCUCAGCCAGUAAGUGCUCAGCUCACAAGUACUCAGACAUGUGACAUGUGGGAACCUCGACCUCAGAGAUCCAGAAAUAUGAAGCGUUCAGGUGCCUCCAUCCCUUACGGAGGCCAGCUCCUAGGUACACCAAGCUGCAGCAUGGGUGGCAUGUUCGUGUGACAUCGUCAGCACGGAGCCGGCCACACUCUGUUCUCGUUUAGCCUCAAAAUCAACGUCGUGCGCACGAGACCUCAACUUCGCCGUGUGACUGCGAAGGACAGAAGUAGGGUCAGCUGGCGGAACUGAGAUUCCGACUCAUCACGAGGACUUUCCAACAACAAGAGUGACAGCCUGGGGACGGAUGUGCUGGUAUCUGGGCCCUUGCAUCUCUCCUCAUCCUUCCUGACAAAAGAGGAUUUAAGACCGCUUCCAAGUCCACUGUCAAUUGCGAUACUCUCUCAAACCACCCUGGACUCACUGAGAAUGACUCGUCCACAGAGGCAUAAAUGUAUUAAGCGGAACGGCGACAUGACAACUCACACCUUAAAAAGCGCACAGUAUUAUACUUCUUAACGGAGCCUCGAAAGAGGCUCGUAUCUGGUGUCUGCCUGCAUCCAGGAGUUUUCAUGAGGAAAACAGAAAUCAGAUUCUUUUGGCUACUUCUUCUGGCUUUUAGGCUUCAUCCUAGAAAACCAGUUUUCACAUCUUUGCAGACUGGAAGAAACAGGUGGAAACUCCACCCCCCGCCGCCUUGUUGAUGCCACAGAGAUACGGCAGGACCACCCAGCUAUGCAGAGCGCUCAGCAGACGGACUCAGGCCCCAUCACCCGCACUCAUUCCAGAACAUCUGCUUUUCCCUUUGCAGAAUUUAUUAUUUUUCAGCUGUCUUCAGCCACUCUUUCUGGCUCCUUGAUUACGCAUUACAAACCAGCACAUGCUAGCAUUUACACAGUGCUCGGGGGAAGGAACAGCCUAGCCUGUCUCAGGGACUCUGAAAAGCCAUAUGCAAUCAUGGGACUUUUCCUCCCUCUGGCAGCGGUGGAAUCAUUUUAGUCUUGUCGCUCUGAAGUGGAUGGGCAGCCUGCAGUCUCUCUCACACCCUUAAAAAUGUUCCUCCAAAGAAAAGACACAGAUUUUAGUCCAUCUGUGGACCAUCUGCAGAAACAGAAGAGCCCAUUGAGAGUUUCUGGACCCUUCC